CUCUGUGAGGUCGCCACUGAGCUGAUGGACUCACGCUCAGACAGACCCUGGCAAACCGUUCUCAGGUUGAAUAGCUCUUUAUUUCACCCGAAGUAAGAAAAGUAGAGUAGGCUCUGUUGGGGUGCUCCUGGGGCCCUUUGCGGCUUCUGGCUCUGGGUGCUGUUUCAUGGGCUUCUAAAGAGGUCUUCUGAGGUCUUCAUGACCUCAGAUGUCACAGAACCGACUUCUACUCCCUGGCCACACUCUGCCAUCUCCACCAUGGCCUCCAGGUCGGUCUCUUCCACCCUCUUGGGCACCGUGUCCACGUUGCCACCAUGCAGUGAGGCCGCCCCCUUCAUGCCAAGGUUAGUCCUGAUGUUCCUCAGGCAAGAGUUUAAGGAGCUGAGUCUCUUGGGCGUGGACUCCGAGCUCAGGGCAGAUAAGCUCCUCCCGGAUUUCUUCCAGCUCCUGGACUCCUUCUCAAGGGGGCUGUGGCUGAUGCCUUUGGGGCUGUGGCAGUGCCUGCUGCUCUUGGCUCUGCGGUGGCCGCCUUCUUCAUUUUUAUUGACUCUGUGUGUCCUGUGGCCCGAUAAGGACCGGCUGGACGACUUCUGGGCCAUCUUGUCCCCCUCUGUCUUGUGGCGACCUUCGCGUGUCCUGCAGUGAUAGGAACUCCUACUGAGGGGUCUGUCCUCCCUCCUCUCCUUCCUUUCCCUGUGCUCUUUGCGGGAGGCCUUGCUGGCCCGGGGGGUGCCCUGCUGUCCGGCCUCUGCAGCCCCGGGGCCUGCCACGGGGCUUUUGCUUCCUCCUUCCCCUAUAAAGGCGGCCUGGGCCAGGGCUGUGUUCACCUAGCUAGCUUCCACACUUGGCAUGCCUGAUGCCACCCCAGCUGCCGCUGCCUCUCUUUUUGUCCCUGGUGCUGACGCUUCAGCAGAACCCACGGAUCUUGUUUCUGGGGUGCAUACUUUGGGAGUGGCAGUGGAUGUACGAGAGCUAGGCUGGUCUCCCUCCCCACUGGCAUGAGCAGCAGAGGUGGCCCCGGUGAGCUCGGCGACCACGUAGAUAUUCCGGGUGCUGACCUGGUCCCAGUCGUCUCUGCCGUGGGUGUCCGAGGUGGCCAGGCUGGAGCUGUCAGCGUCGGCCAGCGCAGGCAGGCAGAGAAUGUCCUCGGGCGGGGUGGCGUAGGUGCCGCUGUUACUUUCAAAGGGCAGCUGCAGGAGGUAAAUGAGGCGCUCCCAGCAGGUGAAGAGGUCUUCCCUCGCAUCCAGGGGGGCGCACAGCUGCAGGUAGAAAGAGCGGCCCGUGGCGAACUUCAGGCGAAGCUGUUGUUUCUCGCGGUCGUGAACGGAGAUCCAAACAAACUUCAAGGGGAGGAGCCUGGAUGGGGGUAACGGCUGUGGAUGUGAAUGGUUUUGCUAGGCCCCCCAUGCCCACCAUAAUGUGCUGCCACCCACAGCCAAAGCAAUGAGGUCAAUUGACCAUUGACUGGAACUGCCAAAACUGUGAGCCAGAAUAAACCUUCCCUCUUUAUACACUGAUUCUCUCAGGUAUUUUGCUACAGUGACAGCUAACUAACACAUGGGGUGAUAUAUAUAAAGUGCUAGCACAUUGCCUAUUUGAUAAACGUGAGCUACUAUUAGUCCUUAGCAGUGCUUUUCAGGAAUUCCUUCCCGAGUGCAGUUUUUCAUAAGAGACCUGGAAAAGCUUCCAGAAUCAGAGUCACCAUGAGACACAGGAUACUCGGCACGCUGCCCAGGCCUCCUUUCAGGAGCGUGUGGUGGGGAAGAGGAGAGAGCGUAAUGUGGGUUUGAGGGGCAAAGGUUUAUUCAAAGCUCCUGGGAAGAGAUGAGGAUCCAGUUGGGAAACAGUUGCCACUUUACUUCUUUGUUCGUUUGUUUUUGUUUUUGUUUGUUUUUUUUGGUACCGGGGAUCGAAC
rnacentral:lncRNA from 1 species